UCUACAAUAAAAUUGUAGAAAUCGAAUCCACAUAAGAGAUGGAUGUCGAAGAUUCUCGACUACAAAAAAGUAAAAUAAAAUGAAAAUAUUUAUAUUUUAAAUACAAUUGACGGCGCACUAACGGUUUCUAUGGUUUUGACGAUAGUUUGAGUUCAUGCACUGUAAUUAAAUCCCGGUUUAGAAAAGCUUCUGAUAUUUAUUUUACAACAAUACAUAUUCGUGUUAAGACUAAAAUUCAUUCAUGACCAUAAACAGGAAAAACCUAAAACCCUCAGUACCUGGACUAGACUACCUGAUUUUUUACAAAAGCUAUACAUUUUCAUGGUGGUGGUAAACAAUAUCAAAAUAACAUCUGUUUUCUCAGUGAUAUCCUAAAAUAGCCUUCCACAUCUGCGCAUAACAAUAAAAAUCUACCUGGAUUUUUUAUAAAACCCAGGAUCUCUGGAGAACCAUUUCCAUUUAUUCAAGAAUCGGUGCGCGUUGUUGAGAUCUGGUGCAACCACACAACAUGUCAGUUCAAGAAGCAGAACUAGAAGAAAAUGACAAACGGUGCAAAGAUAACCAUUCAUCUGUUUAAGUCACAGCAUCACAACAAAUGUUUAAGAUAACAUAAUGUCCGAACAAUCCGGAGAGCAAUUGUAACCUGAAGGUGCUCUGGAUGGUUGCCACCCAGAGCGUCUUCAGCCAACUUCACGUCCUUGAUGCCGCUGAACUGAACGACAUGUAUGUUUAGUCAUUUACUACUGAUUUUGGUAUGCUGAUAGCCUUCAUGUUCUUCGAUACUAGCUAGCCAUAAUGAGGUUAAUAUUACUAGAAGUUCGACUAUCAGUAUGAAAUAAUAAUAUUUUACAAAAAAAUAUUAAAUUAAAAAAGUUCACAAAAAAACACAAUACAAUUAAAUCCUUAAACAUAAUCAGGUCAGAAGGUCAAGAGUAUAAAGAUAAUUUCGCAAAGAAAUAUUAAAUUUUACAAAUAUAAAAUUAAAUAAGUUUGCAAUUUUACGAAAAAAUGCAGUCAAAACCUUAACCAUAAUCAGGGCAGAAGGACAAGGGGUAGUUUACUAUUUAAAUGUGAUAAAAUAGGGGUACUUGAUAUGAAAGAUUAUAAAGAUUAUUUUACAAAGAAAUAUUAAAUUUUAUAAAUAUUGACAACUUAGUUCCAAAAAAUUUAUUUCUUCAAGACACCGCGGCAUCCAUUUGUUACGUAAGUACAAGUAGAGCAGUUUCCGAUAGGCACAUAAACUAACUUAGAUAAAUUAAUGGAAUACUGAUCAUUUGAAGUACUUACCGACGAUUGAAGGCGUGAUGUCUUGUCGGGGCUGAAAGGACAAGUUGUUGUUCACAGUAUAAAUGUGAGAAAGUCGGUUUAGGUUGCUUACGGACAGUUGAAGUCAUGACGUCUUGUCGGGGCACAAAGGACAAAAGUUGUUUGCAGAAAAAAGUCGUAAGUCCAGUUCCAAAAAUUUGAUUUCGACAAGACACCUCGGCAUCCAUCUGUCACCUAUAAGUAGAUCAGCUUCCAGUGGGUACCGGAACUUAAAUAAGCUAAUUGAUUACUCAUUUCCUACUAAUCAUUUGAACUGCUUACCGACGACUGAAGGCGUUAAGUCUUGUCGGGGCACAAAGGACAAGAGUUGUUUGCAGAAAAAAGUCGUAAGUCCAGUUCCAAAAAUUUGAUUUCGACAAGACACCUCGGCAUCCAUCUGUCACCUAUAAGUAGAUCAGCUUCCAGUGGGUACCGGAACUUAAAUAAGCUAAUUGAUUACUCAUUUCCUACUAAUCAUUUGAACUGCUUACCGACGACUGAAGACGUUAAGUCUUGUCGGGGCACAAAGGACAAGAGUUGUUUGCAGAAAAAAGUCGUAAGUCCAGUUCCAAAAAUUUGAUUUCGACAAGGCACCUCGGCAUCCAUCUGUCACCUAUAAGUAGAUCAGCUUCCAGUGGGUACCGGAACUUAAAUAAGCUAAUUGAUUACUCAUUUCCUACUAAUCAUUUGAACUGCUUACCGACGACUGAAGGCGUUAAGUCUUGUCGGGGCACAAAGGACAAGAGUUGUUUGCAGAAAAAAGUUGUAAGUCCAGUUCCAAAAAUUUGAUUUCGACAAGACACCUCGGCAUCCAUCUGUCACCUAUAAGUAGAUCAGCUUCCAGUGGGUACCGGAACUUAAAUAAGCUAAUUGAUUACUCAUUUCCUACUAAUCAUUUGAACUGCUUACCGACGACUGAAGGCGUUAAGUCUUGUCGGGACACAAAGGACAAGAGUUGUUUGCAGAAAAAAGUCGUAAGUCCAGUUCCAAAAAUUUGAUUUCGACAAGACACCUCGGCAUCCAUCUGUCACCUAUAAGUAGAUCAGCUUCCAGUGGGUACCGGAACUUAAAUAAGCUAAUUGAUUACUCAUUUCCUACUAAUCAUUUGAACUGCUUACCGACGACUGAAGGCGUUAAGUCUUGUCGGGGCACAAAGGACAAGAGUUGUUUGCAGAAAAAAGUCGUAAGUCCAGUUCCAAAAAUUUGAUUUCGACAAGACACCUCGGCAUCCAUCUGUCACCUAUAAGUAGAUCAGCUUCCAGUGGGUACCGGAACUUAAAUAAGCUAAUUGAUUACUCAUUUCCUACUAAUCAUUUGAACUGCUUACCGACGAUUGAAGGCGUUAAGUCUUGUCGGGGCACAAAGGACAAGAGUUGUUUGCGGUAUAAAAGCCGUAAAAUUUUAUUUGAUUUUAUUAGAGCGGACUUUUCUACACGUAUUGAGGUUAUGACAUAAUUUUACAGCAUAUCAAUGGAGAAUGACAACAAUACUUUUUGAAUUUUUAUGCUCACUGUCUUUUCCUUUUAACAAAUUAUUUAUUAUUUUUUAAUAGUAAUAUAAACAAAUAUUUAUUACAAUUCUAUAAAAAAUUAAAUUUUUAUGCUUUGGACAAUAUAAUAUUUCAACUUCGGGAUUUCUGGUUUGAACACAUUUUAAAAUAAUUUUCUUUAAAUUAAUUUUACGAAUGAUGUUUGGAAGGAUGUUAAAAACUAUAGAAGAAAUAUUGUGAAAAAUAUUCGUAAACUCGCUUGUUGGUUCAAAAAAUAAUCCACGAAGAUAAUGUUUUCGCUUAAUGAAUAUAUUUUGCUGAAGACCUUUUUCAGUUACUAUUAACUUUGUGCAAUUAUCACAUCAUAGUUCUUUAAACAUUUUUUUAAUAACGGUACCAGCUGCAUAUGGUGUAGACAAAUCUGAUUUUUAUACAGAGUGUGAUGGUAUUCUGAAACAAAAUCAAUUUCGCUGUUAGACCCACUAGUGUCUUCUUGUGCGAUGAGGUCUUUUAAAAUAUCCAAUGUCCCAGUUGAUAAAUCCUCCUUACAGUUAAAACCUGGGGAGUGUAAUGACAUAAAAUUGUUUACUAUCAAAGUCUUUUCCUUUUAACAAAUUAUUUAUUAUUUUUAUAUAAUAAUAUAAACAAUAUUUAUUACAAUUCUAUAAAAAAAAUUAAAUUUUUAUGCUUUGGACAAAAUAAUGUUUCAACGUCGGAAUUUCUGGUUUGAACACAUUUUAAAAUAAUUUUCUUUAAAUUAAUUUUAUGAAUGAUGUUUGGAAUGACGUUAAAAACUAUAGAAGAAAUAUUGUGAAAAAUAUUCGUAAACUCACUUGUUAGUUCGGAAAGCAUCUACUAUUAACUUUGUACAAUUAACACAUGAUAGUUUUUUAAACUUUUUGUUAAUAGUGUGUGAUAUUCUGAAACAAAAUCAAUUUCGCUAUUUGACUCACUAGUGUUUUCUUGUGCGAUGAGGUCUUUUAAAUUAUCCAAUGCCCCAGUCGAUAAAUCUUCCUCACAGUUAAAACCUGGGGAGUGUGAUGACAUAAAAUUGUUUACUAUCGAAGCGUUGGUUGAGUAGAUAAAGGAGGUGUACAUUGGAUUGACAUUUCUCACUCCAUGACUUCUUAUCUAUCACGUAUAAGUGGAUCAGCUUCCAGUGGGCACCGAAACUAACUUAAAUAAGUUAAUUGAAUACUCAUUUCUUACUUUUCAUUUGAACUGGAUAUGAGGGAUAAACGGUAUAAAAUUUAGUUUGAUUUUAUAAGAGCCUCCAGUAGGCACUGGAUAAAUUAAUGGAACACUCAUUCUCCAUGUCGGUUAAGAAGAUUUAGGACGGCUAAAGGCAUGAAAUCUUGUCGGAGCACAAAGGACAAGAGUUGUUUGCAGGAAAAAGUCGUAAGUCCAGUUUAAAAAAUUUAAUUUCGACAAGACACCUCGGCAUCCAUCUGUCACGUAUAUGUAGAUCAGCUUACAGUAGGCACCGAAACUAUCUUAACUAAGUUAAUUGAUUGCUCAUUUCCUACUGAUCAUUUGAACUGCUUACCGACGGUUGAAGUCGUUAUGUCUUGUCGGGGUUGAAAGGACAACUUGUUGUUUGCAGUAUAAAUGUGAGAAAGUCGAUUAGGUUGUUUACGGACAGUUGAAGUCGUGACGUCUUGUCAGGGCAUAAAGGACAAGCGAGUAUUUGAGGGAUUAACGGGACAAAAUUUUGUUUGAUUUUAUAAGAACUUCCAGUAGACACAGGAACUUAUUUUAAUAAGUUAAUAAAACUCUCAUUCUCCGUGGGUCGGUUAAGGAGAUUUAGGACGGUUAAAGGCAUGAAGUCUUCUCGAGGCGCGAAGGACAAGAGUUGUUUGCAGGAAAAAGUCGUAAGUCCAGUUCUAAAAAUUUAAUUUCGACAAGACGCCUCGGCAUCCAUCUGUCACGUAUAUGUAGAUCAGCUUACAGUAGGCACCGAAACUAACUUAAAUAAGUUAAUUAAUUGCUCAUUUCCUACUGAUCAUUUGAACUGCUUACCGAGGGUUGAAGGCGUUAUGUCUUGACGGGGUUGAAAGGACAAUUUGUUGUUUGCAGUAUAAAUGUGAGAAAGUCGAUUAGGUUGUUUACGGACAGUUGAAGUCAUGAUGUCUUGUCAGGGCAUAAAGGACAAGCGGGUAUUUGAGGGAUUAACGGGACAAAAUUUUGUUUGAUUUUAUAAGAACUUCCAGUAGGCACUGAAACUUAUUUUAAUAAGUUAAAGAAACUCAUUCUCCAUGGGUCGAUUAAGAAGAUUUAGGACGGUUAAAGGCAUGAAGUCUUGUCGGGGAACGAAGGACAAGAGUUGUUUGCAGGAAAAAGUCGUGAGUCUAGUUUCAAAAAUUUAAUUUCGACAAGGCACCUCGGCAUCCAUCUAUCACGUAUAUAUAGAUCAGCUUACAGUAGGCACCGAAACUAAUUUAAAUAAGUUAAUUGAUUGCUCAUUUCCAACUGAUCAUUUGAACUGCUUACCGACGGUUGAAGGCGUUAUGUCUUGCCGGGGCUGAAAGGACAAUUUGUUGUUUGCAGUAUAAAUGUGAGAGUCGGUUAGGUUGCUUACGGACAGUUGAAGUCGUGACGCCUUGUCAGGGCAUAAAGGACAAGCGGGUAUUUGAGGGAUAAAAUUUUGUUUGAUUUUAUAAGAACUUCCAGUAGUCACAGAAACUUAUUUUAAUAAGUUAAAAAACUCAUUCUCCAUGGGUCGAUUAAGGAGAUUUAGGACGAUUAAAGGCAUGAAGUCUUGUCAAGGCACGAAGGACAAGAGUUGUUUGCAGGAAAAAGUCGUAAGUCCAGUUCUAAAAAUUUAAUUUCGACAAGACACCUCGGCAUCCAUCUGUCACGUAUAUGUAGAUCAGCUUACAGUAAGCACCGAAACUAACUUAAAUAAGUUAAUUGAUUGCUCAUUUUCUACUGAUCAUUUGAACUGCUUACCGACGGUUGAAGGCGUUAUGUCUUGUCGGGGUUGAAAGGACAAUUUGUUGUUUGCAGUAUAAAUGUGAGAAAGUCGAUUAGGUUGCUUACGGACAAUUGAAGUCGUGACGUCUUGUCAGAGCAUAAAGGACAAGAGGGUAUUUGAGGGAUUAACGGGACAAAAUUUUGUUUGAUUUUAUAAGAACUUCCAGUAGACACAGGAACUUAUUUUAAUAAGUUAAUGGAACUCUCAUUCUCCAUAGGUCGGUUAAGAAGAUAAGGAGUUGUUUGGGGGAAAAAUGCCAUAAAAUUUUAUUUAAUUUUAUAACAGCAGACUUUUCUAUAGGGAAAGCACUUUGUAUAGAAGUUAUAAGAUAAUUUACUACAUAACAAAUUAGUUUCAAAAAUUAUAUUUCGACAGGACACCGUGGCAUCUAUCUGUCACGUACAAAGAGAUCAACUUCCGGUAAGCACAGAAUCUAACUUAAAUAAGUUAUUCUCAUUCCCUAAUAAUCAUUUGAAGUGCUUACCGACGGUUGAAGGCAUGAUGUAUUGUCAUGGCAUAAAGGACAACUAUGUAUUUGAGGGUUAAAUGAGAGGACGUUUUAUUUGAAUUUAUAAAUCGUGCAUCAUUCCCUAUAAGUCGAUUAACGUGUUAAGGACGCUUGAAGGCAUUAUGUCUUGUCAGGACACAAAGGAUAAGAGUUCUUUGUAGUUCAAUUAUAAAAUCAUUGAACAUUUCAUUUGUUUUCAUUCAGAUAAACUGUAAAAUAUUGUUUUAUAGACAACUAAUUGUAAAACAUUAAAUAAUAAUUUAAAAAUAUGUCAAAACUUGGAACCCGAUUCUUCGGGCCUUAGUUGCUUCGUGUUUAAUCAUUCUAUAAAUGUAGCAUCCUAAGUUCGGUUCGGAUCUUCGUUGCUUUUUGUCAGACACGCCAAAUAUAUAUGUCUAGUAAGGCGAUUAUGAAGUUCGUCGAAGAAGAAAAUUGUUUUCUGGAGCCAUUGCCUGGCCAGAAGAGUGGUUUCGGCGAUAAUAACGGAUAUAGCCAUCUUGGAAUAGGAACAGGACGCAGAUGGACAGAAUGAUGUUCCUUAUGUGAUUUCUAGACCCCUUCGAUUUCAUCACUGAUAUCCAUGAAUGGAGGAGGUAUAUAUCAACUGACAUGACUAGGAGAUUUGUUAGAUGGUGGAGUGUAACACUGCGACGACAGUACGAUUUUCUUCGAUGGCAACUCAUGAUAUACAAGUAGUCAAACUUUUCUUGCUUUCUCUGGGAUUAUGACUGCAUCUGGCAGGAAUGUCUGUUCCCUGUAUGUCCUGAUAGGCUAUCAUCUUUUAUGUACAACAUAGGAGAAACCGCCUAUUUAUUGUUUGCUUCAACCAACGUGUUGGAUGGUUGGUUUUUGUUGGUUGAGCCAUAUUCACUACUUUUGUUUGAUUGUAUAUUAUGGGGCCCAGCACAACGGUGUACUUCUCUUAUUAUAAUAAGUGCACUACUUUUUCUACUAUGAAGCUGAUUAAAUAGACACCAAUCACAUCAAUAAGUACACAGUCGUGAACUCACAAGAGUUGGACCCCGACCUACAAAAAUAUGCGACAAGCACCAUAAACAGAACAUUAGGGCUGGUUAUACGGUUAAAUAAUUUAACAUUCUGUACCAUGGAGACCAUUAAACAAACAAACUAAAAGCAAUGUGCACGGAAAAAGUUUGUUAAAUGGAAUAUGCCAAGCUCACCAUUGGGGGAAUGUGUGGCGUGGCACAUCUUGUCGCACAUUUCGACUGAACCACUGUACAGUCGACAUGUUGGAUUGCAGGAUUCUCGGCGGUCUUGUCCUGCUCUUGGUGAUGGAACGUCGGUGGAUUUUAUCAUUUAUUUGUGUCACAGAAAAGUAAUAAAAAUUAUUUUAGAAAUAUUAUUGUAAAUUCAUUAAAUGCAAAUAAAAUUGUAAUAAACAGUUGUUAUUUUAAUU